AGGCAGCAGUGAGGAAUAUUGGUCAAUGGGCGGAAGCCUGAACCAGCCAAGUCGCGUGAGGGAAUAAGGCCCUACGGGUCGUAAACCUCUUUUGCCGGGGAGCAAGGGCGGGGACGUGUCCCGGCCCGGAGAGUACCCGGAGAAAAAGCAUCGGCUAACUCCGUGCC
rnacentral:rRNA from 1 species